rnacentral:lncRNA from 1 species
CGGGGAAAAACAUGUUAAAAUAUAUCAGUGGCAGUGCUAGGUGUUUUUGUUAUAUACAAGGCUCUCAUUUUUAAGAAUUUACCAUCAAGGCAGAGAGUAAUUUGAUACAAAAGUGGCAUGCGGAUAUAUGUUUGCAAACCAGAUGAUUUGAUGAAUAAACUUUAAUACAUACAUUUUCCCUUAUAUUAUUAUAGAUAUUAAAACUCUUAGUAGCCAGCGGAAGGGUAAGUCAUAUGACACUUGGAAGAUACGCUUUAGUUCUGUUCUGUUCCACCUUCUUGGAUAGAAGCUCACCCUCAAAGAUGCUCCUGUCCUCUUUCAAAGACGCUCCUGUCCCCGAUAACGACCCGUUUAGGCUUACCUGAGAAUCAAAACACAACACAAGAUUAACAUGUAAAUAAAACAGCACAGAUGGCAUAAUCAAAUAUAUGCUGGAAUACAAAAUAAAAGGUCUUAAAAUUAGCACGUUUCUACAAGAAUUUUUUAUGCUCACCCCGAGACAAGUCCCAAAAUCUCAUAGAACUGUUGUUACUUCCUAACUCCACAACAUAUACCAUUAGUAAAACACCUCAGACACCUAAACCCUUACGGGACUUGUGGGUUCUUAUUUCUGCUUCAAGGAAUAGAACUCCCUACUAAUGAGAUGCAGCAGGGCAAAGUGUAGAAUGACAGAAGUAACAACAUGCUAUCAAAUUUAUUGUGACUACGUCGGAUUUGUAAUAGCCAACACUGAACUGAAUGUACCCAGUGACACCUUAUCCAAUUACUGGUGUUUAAACUACACACGCUAAAACCUACAGUCACCAACGCACGAAUAUGAUUCUACGAGCAUAGAAAAUAUAGCAAGACCAAGUCCAAAAUGAAAACAGACAUAAUUGUAAGAAGAGAGAAGAAAAAACACCAUCCAAAGUUUUCAGCCAAUAAUUUCCAAACCCACCGCAAAGCAGCUCGUCACUCCUGCUGUUGAGCUUUACACACUGAAAGAAGCACACAACAAAAGAUUAUAACCGUUUCAACAUCAAAAAAACCAUGCUAUAAUACAAGUCGAUAACAUAGAAUAUCCUACACUCAAUCAUAUAGGAAUUUCGCCUUAAGGCCGAAUCGCCGUCAUCUUCCUCUUUCCCCUCACCAAGUGGGCAGAUCUCAGGAGCUCAACCUCACUGAUACGCUCUCAUUCUCAUCACAAUCAGAGUUGGCAAAUCUAUAACAUCUCAACCUGAGCACUAGAUUCACUUUUUUGAACUUCAUCAACUUGGCGACAUUUAUAGGAAAAGAAAUAAAGUUUCAUAAAAUUGUUACUUUGUUUCCUCCUCAACCACACGAAGACAUGUUUGACGAAGCAAGAAUCCCCGAUGCCUUCGGGAUUCAGCAAUUCUAGUUGUGGAAGGACGCACCCUUUUUGCUAGCUGUGUUGACUUCUCCAUUUUGAUGAUAAUUUCAGCUACCUUCACUAUAAUAGGCAUGGUAAUGCAAUGAGAGAGAAAUUGUUUUCUCGUUUCCAUUUUAUUUAUAAUACCUCUAACCUAAAUGUGGAAUACUUAUCUAAGAAUACGUUUUAUCAUACACUCUAGUGAAGGAAAAUGAAAGCUAAAUUAAUCUACACCAAAAAAGAAAAUUGCUCAUAUUAACACUGGUGUACCCAGUUAAACAUAAAAACUACUAUUAGGUCAGAUAUCUAAAAAUAGUUUGCAUCAGUUUUGCAACAUUUCUAGCUGCCAAAAUAAAGCAGUAAUAAUAAUCAUCCUCGGGAUAUCCUCUCGUGAGAAUCUGCUGACGUACUACACAAACACUAAUAAUAUAAACUCGUGCACAAUGUCUUAAAUAAUCAAAUCCGACACGGAGUAAAGAGACGUCAAAAUACAACACAUCAAAAUAACUUCAAACUAAAAACGGACAAAACUUGUCCCUUGGCCCUGAAAAGAGUCCAAAUGAAAAAAAAAACAUCUUUGAAGAAACACAAUUAUCAUACCUCCUCAUGCUUCUUGGAUAGCAAAUCACACCACCAACGCCCCUGAUCCUCAACAGUUCUCCCGCCCUCGACGAGGUUCUGUUUAGGGUGGUUGCCUGAGAAGAGAAUCGACACAAGAUUAGCAUGCGCAUAUGGCAUAAUCAACUAUAUGCUGGAAUAUAAAAUAAAAGGUGUUAUAUAUGUUAGAAUAUUUUAUUUCCUUAUGUGGCCUCUACUAUUUAUGAAAUUAUUGGGCUUACAUAUUGAAUUAAUUUAAUCACUUUAUUUAUGGGUUUGGUAAUUAUGCGACUUAUAAAUAAUAUUAAUGAUAGUAUUUGGCAUAAUUAACCCUUUAUAAUCUUGAUGGGCAAUUUUAACCCUAAACUAUUCUAUAAAUAAAACAAUUAUGGUUUGGACUCGAUUGUCGUCUUAAGAAUUUUAUACACGUCUAUACAUCUAUCCAAAGAUUGAGAGAGACAAUUGAAUACUUUCACCCUUAAGCGCUAUGGAAGCGCGAUACAUACAAGAUGUAUUCUCUCAAUUCAUGCAAGUACCUAACAUAAUGAUCAAUUAAUUGAUUUUAUUCUAUGAAAUAACACGUUCUAAUAUAAUUUAUUUAACAUUUGGUAUCAAAGCAUAGUUAUGCUAUCCCAUGAAAUAAAUUAAUUAUGUUGUUAUGCUAUAAAGUUUAAUAUCGUAGAAUGAUUUAAUUACGGUGAAAAGGCUUUCCCGAUAAUAACAUCAAUUUGUUUCAGUUUUUACGCAAUCAUGUAUUCUGUUGCACAUCAUGGAUACUUACUUUUUCUCAAUUCGUUAAUAUAUAUUGAAUUACUUAAUGAUUCUACCUGUAUAAUAUUAUUUAUAUUAUACCAUCAUGUUUAGAAAUUCUGCAAAUAGCCCAAGUGUUAUUUAGUAUUGACUUCAAUUUAUUGGCUAGGUUUAGGGUACAUCGUUAUGCUUUCAGGAGGCUCUAUGUCGUGGAGAAGUCAUAAACAGGAGUUAACUACCAUUUUCACAAUGAUGACAGAAUAUGAGGCUUGUUAUCAUGUUACUUGUCACCAUUAUUGAGUAAUCUUAUUUCAAGACUUAAGGUUGUAAAUUCCAUUUCAAGGCCAUUGAAAGUAUUUUGUUAUAAUGAUUAGGUUGUAAGUUUUUUCAACACCACCAGUUCGAGUGGUACUGGACUGUACCUCGACACUAAGUAUUUAUUUAUCAAAAAAAGAGUUGAAGAUCAAAGCGUUGUCGUUAAGAAUAUUAGUACGCAUAAUAUGUUAGCUGAUCCACAUACGAAAGGCGUAAACCAAAGCUCUUGUUAGACCAUGUUGCCGACAUAGGUUUAAGUGGUAGUCUUAAUUAGUGAGUAAUUUUGAUGUAAUACAACAUUUUUGAGCUCAUUUUGACCUUCACAUUGCGUUUACGGUUUUCAAUUCUUUUUCUUUUGCACACAUGAGAACUUGUGAGCAAACAAUUACGUUUUGGACUAGAAUGAGUUUAAUUAAUCUAUUAUCACUUAUGUAAACUCUAUUCGUACCUGUUAUGCUUAAUGUUAAUCUCUGUUCUAAUAAAAAUACUAAUUGUGUAACUAAUGGGAAUCUUGUGUUAAUAGUGACACAAAGAUUGUAUUAAUUCGCAUUGGUGCUUUUAUUUGAACAAGAUGUAGGCAUUAAAUUAAUACAUGGCCAAAUUAAUGAUUGUAAGCGUUAUGUUUUGUAUAUAAUUAGUAUUUCGUUCAAGUGGGAGAAUGUUAAAAUAUUUUAUUACCUUAUGCGGCCUCUAAUAUUUAUUGAAUUAUUGGGAUUACAUAUUGAAUUAAUUUAAUCACUUUAUUGAUGGGCCUAUAAAUAAUAUUACUGAUCGUAUUUGGCAUAAUGGGUCCAAAGGUUUCAUAAUCUUGAUGGAAGCUAUUCUAUAAAUAAAACCGUUAAGGUUUGGUCUCAAUUGUCGUCUCAAAAAUUUUAUACACAUCUAUACAUCCAUCGAGAGAAUUGAAAACUAUCACCCUUAAGCGCAGCGAAAGUGUGACACUUUAUCUAAUUACUCUAGAUUUAAAGUGUGACACCUUAAAUUUAUUGUGGAUAAUCAAAUUUAUUGUGGUUACGUCGGAUUUGUAAUAAGCCGAUACUGAACUGGAUGUACCCACUGACACUUUAUCUAAUUACUCUGGAUUUUAAACUAAGCACAAUAAACAUACAGACCAAGAAACAACACCGUCCAAAGUUGCAUCUCUUGCAUCAUAAUUUUUCAGCAAAGUAUUUUUGAACAUACCGAAAUCUGGUGCCUUCCCUCGAGCCUUGCACGCUGCAAAAGCACAAAACAAAUAUUAUAACCUUUUCAACAUCAACAAAAACUUGCUAUUUUUCUUUAUGUUUUUGUCUUUGUAAUACAAUUUGCUAGUGUAGAAGAAACAACUAGAAUCAUACAAAAUCUGAAACCCAAAACAACUUUUUCGUCCGAUUUGUCUGUCCGAAUGCAUACCUCUCCAGAAAUCUCACGCCGAAUACGCUUACGAUAGUAGAUUCUCCAUGCCACUAGUGUUAUCGGAAAGGUAUAAAGAUAGGCCCGAAGAACUAGUCCAUUACACAUGGAAAAAAAUUUAGAAACACAAUUGAUCAAAUAAAUGAGUAAAUCAUGAAUAAAGGCAUUUAAGAAGGGACUACUAGUCCGCCUAAUCCAAAGUUAAAUGCAAAAACUAACUCAUAACCCAAAAGAAACCCGCAAUAUUUUCCCUCUAAUUUCAUUAACUAAAAUCCAAUGAAAACUUUCACACAUACAUACGUAUAUGCGUGUGUGUGGUGUGUGUGUGUGUGUGUGUAUAUAUAUAUAUAUAUAUAUAUAUAUAUAUAUAUAUAUAUAUUCAAAAAGCAAUUAAGUAAUAAAGAUAAAAAGGAAAUCAGAUCAAACUGCCUUUGAAAGUAAAAAUGUUAGGGUUAGGGUUUCUAAAGCAGUAGCAACAAGAGGAUAAAUUACUGAACUGUUACAAACAAUGGGAGAGCCACACCUUAAAAGCUAGCUAUUAAGGUUGGAGAGCCCAAAGUUUAUAAAUACCCCACAUCAAAGUCUCAUACCAUCGAUGUGGGACACAAGUCCCAUACCUUGCAAUUAGGAUCAUAACAUUCCACCACGCUCCGCAGUCCCGGCGCCCACGCGGGCUGGCUUUGCGCUAGACGAUUCUAGCCCCGGGUGCCGACGUCACAACCCUCGCCGCACGAUUGCAACCGGAAGGUAGUGGAUGGUUUUGAUACCAAUUGUAAUGAAUUGGAGAAGCAGACUAAAAUUGUCAAGGAAAUUUAGGGAAUAAGGAACAGAGCAGUUAGAGUGAAGAAGAAGACAGAAGAGAACCGUAGAGAGAGAAAAGACUAUCACGUUAUCUUUCAAUAAUCCCAAUAGAAUUACAACUCAGCUAUAUAUCUACUUAGAAUACUACUAUUACUAUAAUGCCCCCACUAAUCCUAUAUUGACUUCUAUAUCCCAACCUAUUCCUUACAUUAUUGUUACAAACAAUGGGAGAGCCACACCUUAAAAGCUAGCUAUUAAGGUUGGAGAGCCCAAAGUUUAUAAAUACCCCACAUCAAAGUCCCAUACCAUCGAUGUGGGACACAAGUCCCAUACCUUGCAAUUAGGAUCAUAACAUUCCACCACGCUCCGCAGUCCCGGCGCCCACGCGGGCUGGCUUUGCGCUAGACGAUUCUAGCCCCGGGCGAACACUGCAAUGCCGACGUCACCACCCUCGCCUAGCUUUUAAGGUGUGGCUCUCCCAUAGUUUGUGACAAUUGGUUUUAAGGUGUGGCUCUCCCAUUGUUUGUAACAAUUGGUAUCAAAGCCAUCCACUACCUUCCGGUUGCAAUCGUGCGGCGAGGGUGAUGACGUCGGCAUUGCAGUGUUCGCCCGGGGCUAGAAUCGUCUAGCGCAAAGCCAGCCCGCGUGGGCGCCGGGACUGCGGAGCGUGGUGGAAUGUUAUGAUCCUAAUUGCAAGGUAUGGGACUUGUGUCCCACAUCGAUGGUAUGGGACUUUGAUGUGGGGUAUUUAUAAACUUUGGGCUCUCCAACCUUAAUAACUAGCUUUUAAGGUGUGGCUCUCCCAUUGUUUGUAACAAUUUUUGACAAUUUUAGUCUGCUUCUCCAAUUCAUUACAAUUGGUAUCAGAGCCAUUCCGAUCCCAGCCAUAAUGACAGCCGAAAAUCAAAAUUCUAAAGCCCUAGAAAACAAUUUUGAAAAAAUUCGAGAAUUAAUGAAAGGAUUGCAAAGUUCUAUGGGUAAAGAGUGCAAGCAGGUCAUGAAGAAAUUUGGUGACUUACGAGCUUCCAAUGGAAGAGGUCGGGAGCUGAUAUCUGAAAUGAAGAUAAGCUCAGAUAGUAAAAAAAUCAAAGGUACUUACAAAGUGUUUGAUAAAAGGUUUACAAGAGGUAUAUCAAAUAAGAAGGUCUUAAUUUCUGGUUAUAAUCAAGAUGAAGAUUGUUUGUAUGUUGAGACCUUUGAAUAUGUGCAAAAGAAAUUAUUAAUUUUUGGUUCUAAUCAAACUGAGGAUUGCUUAUGUGAAACAACAUAUUCCUUAAAUUCAAUAUACCAAGACAUUAAUGAUGAAGAUGAUGUGGAUCUGGAUUUUAAGGAGGAAGAGAGCCUUCAAACACAAUUGCAGAUUCAACAAAAUGUUGGUUCAGUUGUUCCUGAGAUUGGAGGCCAUGAUUUUCUGGCCGGAAUUGAAGACCCAAUCUCACUCGUCAAUCAAGUUUGCACUGAAUCAAUUCAGGAUAAGGUCACAGGAGAGAACAUGGAACAUGAAACUAAGGUGGAUGAUAAAAAGCUAGUACCAAGAAUAACUAUCUAUCAAAAUGAAAUUAAAGGAGAUGGUGUGACAAUUGAAGGAGUAUUGUUACAAACAAUGGGAGAGCCACACCUUAAAAGCUAGCUAUUAAGGUUGGAGAGCCCAAAGUUUAUAAAUACCCCACAUCAAAGUCCCAUACCAUCGAUGUGGGACACAAGUCUCAUACCUUGCAAUUAGGAUCAUAACAUUCCACCACGCUCCGCAGUCCCGGCGCCCACGCGGGCUGGCUUUGCGCUAGACGAUUCUAGCCCCGGUCGAACACUGCAAUGCCGACGUCACCACCCUCGCCGCACGAUUGCAACCGGAAGGUAGUGGAUGGCUUUGAUACCAAUUGUUACAAACAAUGGGAGAGCCACACCUUAAAAGCUAGCUAUUAAGGUUGGAGAGCCCAAAGUUUAUAAAUACCCCACAUCAAAGUCCCAUACCAUCGAUGUGGGACACAAGUCUCAUACCUUGUAAUUGGUAUCAAAGCCAUCCACUACCUUCCGGUUGCAAUCGUGCGGCGAGGGUGGUGACGUCGGCAUUGCAGUGUUCGCUCGGGGCUAGAAUCGUCUAGCGCAAAGCCAGCCCGCGUGGGCGCCGGGACUACGGAGCGUGGUGGAAUGUUAUGAUCCUAAUUGCAAGGUAUGGGACUUGUGUCCCACAUCGAUGGUAUGGGACUUUGAUGUGGGGUAUUUAUAAACUUUGGGCUCUCCAACCUUAAUAGCUAGCUUUUAAGGUGUGGCUCUCCCAUUGUUUGUAACAAAUUGUAAGGAACUGAAAUCUGGAUUCAGUUCUUAGCUCAGUCAAUAUACUAAAACAAGAAGAAGAAUUAACUAAGAAUGAAGAAUAGCAAGAUCAGGAGGAAAAGAGACUGUAUAUUGGAGAGAGACAAAGAGUAACAAUUCCAUUCAUGCCUUCAACUGAGUACAGCUAGGUCUUCUUAUACAAAGGAAAAGAACAAAACAAUAACCGACUCAAUUUAGCCUAACAGUAACAGAUUACUGCUAAACCAUAUUAUUAAGCAAAAGACUAUUAUACCCUUAGUGACUCACUGGACUUUCUAUAUGUAACCCACAUUUCCUUACAAUCCCUUCCCCUAACAAAUUCCUUGUCCUCAAGGAAGAAAAUGUGGGAACCGGGCAUGAAUAUCAGACCAAAGCUCCCAAGUAGCUUCAGAAGGAAGAGUAUUAGACCACUGAAUUAAGACUUCUGCAACUGGUGCAUUAUUCUUCUUCACCAACCUUCGAGCAAGGACUGCUAGAGGCUCAACCACAAACUGCCCAUGAACAUCCACUGAAGGCACAACCUGUGAAACUGUUGCAGCUGUACCAAUUUUCUUUUUAAGCAUUGAAACAUGGAAAACAGGAUGUAUCUUAGCAUGUACUGGAAGAAGUAACUUGUAAGCAACAGAACCAAUACGUUCAAGCACCUGAAAUGGCCCAUAGUACUUAGAAUCCAACUUAGAAUAUCUAGACUGAGUCAUAGAAAGUUGUUUGUAUGGUCUAAGUCGUAAGUAAACCAUAUCUCCAACAUUAAAACUUCUUUCCUGCCUAUGCGCAUCAGCAUAAGUCUUAAUUCUGUUCUGAGCUUGAAUCAAAUUAUGUUUCAACAACUGUAACAAUUGAUUCCGAACAGCACUAAACUGUUUAGCAGUAGGAUCAGAAAUUUGGCCAAACUGGUGGAAAGAAAGAUGAGGAGCUGUAUAACCAUACAAGGCCUAAAAUGGGGUUAGCUGUGCGCCACUGUGAUAGUGGGUAUUGUACCACCAUUCAGCUAGAGGUAACCACUCACCCCAAGACUUUGGUCGUUGGCUGCACAUACAUCUCAAAUAAGCUUCUAAACAUUGAUUUAAUCUCUCAGAUUGGCCAUCACUUUGAGGGUGAUAAGCAGUGCUGAGCUUUAAAUGAGUUCCCAAAGACUUGAACAAAGACUGCCAAAAAUGCCCAAUAAAAAUCCUAUCUCUGUCUGAAACUAUAGAUGUAGGCAGCCCAUGUAAUUUAUGUACAUGAGUCAUAAACACAUCUGCGACAUCUACAGCAGAAUAAGGAUGCUUCAAACCCAAAAAAUGAGCGUACUUGGUAAGUCUAUCAAUCACUACCAAAAUUGAAUUAUAUCCAUGGGAAUUAGGGAGUCCCUCAAUAAAAUCCAUGGCAAUAUCCUUCCAGGUGUAUCAGGAAUAGGUAAAGGCUGCAACAACCCAAGUGUAGCACUGGUCUCAUGUUUGUUUAACUGACAGACUUCACAUUCUCUAACAAAAGAGAUAACAUCAGACCUUAAAGUAGGCUAAUAGAAAUACUGAGAUAUUCUUUCAAAAGUUCCUUUCCUCCCAGAAUGACCUCCCACAGGAGAACUAUGGAAUUCCUGUAAAAGCUUCACUUUUAGUGCAGCAGAGUUCCCCACUACCAACUUUCCUUUAUACCUCAAUCUGCCAUUAAUAAAAGAAUAAUCAGGAACGGAGUGGGAAUCUACAACUAACUGAGAAAUAAUUUGUUGUAGUUCUGCAUCCUCAGCCCAUGUAGCAGCCAAUUCUUGAAUCCAUUGAGGAGUGACUGUAGAAAGAGCUAAACAAUGUAAGCUCUCAGUUCCCAAAUCAGAAGUAUAACUCUGAUGCAAUCUAGAUAAUCCAUCUGCAACUAUAUUUUCCUUCCCCUUCUUAUAACAUAUUUCAUAAUCCAUUCCCAUCAACUUAGUAAUCCACCGUUGUUGAUUAACAGUAGUAAUUCGUUGAUCCAAUAAGUAAUUUAAACUUUGGUGGUCAGUCCUAAUGACGAACUUUGUUCCCAACAAAUAAUGCCUCCACCUUUGCACAGAAUACACCACAGCCAUCAAUUCUUUCUCAUAAGUAGACAAACCUAAAUGCCGUGUAGCAAUAGCUUUAUUAAGAUAAGCUAUUGGCCUGUCAUUUUGCAUCAGCACAGCCCCAAUACCUGUUCCACAAGCAUCAGUUUCCAAGACAAAAGGAAGGGUAAAAUCAAGCAUUGCUAAAGUAGGAGCAACUACCAUAGCUUGCUUCAGCUGAAGGAAAGCUGUCUCAGAUUCAGGAGUCCAAAUAAACUGAUUUUUCUUAAGCAUAUCAGUGAGAGGCUUGCUUAUCAAUCCAUAAUGCCUGAUGAACUUCCUAUAAUAUCCUGUCAAGCCUAAAAACCCCCUCAACCCCUUGAUACUAACAGGUUUAGGCCAUUGAAGCAUGCAAUCUAUUUUCUCAGGAUCUGUAGAAACACCCUCAGGAGUGAUGACAUGUCCAAGGUAUUGAACCCUUUGAGUGGCAAAAGCACACUUGGACAUUUUUGCAUACAGCUCAUGCUGCCUUAACAACCCCAAAGUCACCUCUAUGUGCUGUAAAUGAGAUUCAUAAGUAGGACUGUAAACCAAAAUAUCAUCAAAAAAAACUAGGAUGAACUUCCUCAAAUAAGAAGCAAACACAGUAUUCAUGAGGCUUUGGAAAGUAGAUGGGGCAUUCGUUAACCCAAAAGGCAUUACUUUAAACUCAUAGUGGCCCGAAUGGGUUCUAAAAGCAGUUUUAGGUAUAUCAAGAGGAUGAACCCUUAUCUGAUGAUACCCAGACCUUAAAUCAAGUUUAGAAUACCACUUAGCACCAUGAAGUUCAUCCAACAAUUCAUCUAUGACAGGUAUAGGAAAUUUGUCCUUGAUAGUCACAUCAUUUAGAGCCCUAUAAUCAAUACACAUUCUCCAUGUGUUAUCAUGCUUCUUUACCAACAACACUGGGAAAGCAAAUGGGCUACUACUGUUUUGAAUAACCCCAGACUGAAGUAAAUUAGUAACAAUCUUCUCUAUCUCUGCUUUCUGAACAUAUGGUUAUCUAUAGGGUCUUAAAUUGAUAGGCUGACUUCCUUCUUUUAAAUUGAUAUGAUGGUCAUGUGCCCUUUCAGGAGGUAGUCCCUUUGGUUCUGCAAAAACAUCAGAAAAGGACUUCAACAAUCUUAAAAGCUUAGGACACUCAGAAUUUUGUAAACUGCAAUCCUUACACUCUGAAAUCCCAUACAAAUAACCAAAAAACCCAUGUGUUGAAGUCUGCAAGGUCUUUGUAAAUUCUCCUGAAUCCAUAAGUUGGACCAUAGGAGUAACAUUCAUACUGUCUCCUUGCACGAUCACUGAUUUUCCUUCGUGAUUAAACUGGAACUGCAACUUAUUAAAGUCAAAAGUUACUGGACUUACAGUUUUUCACCACUGAACCCCAAGUACUGCAUCCACCCCUCCUAAUGGUAAAAUCCUCAUGUCAGUGUGGUACUCUUUUCCUUGCAUUUGCCACCUAAACUCAGGACAGACUUGGUUGCUUUGCAGUUUAAACCCAUCAGCCACAGAGACAGCCACUGCCUUAGCAGUAUUUUCAAUUCUGACCUUAAGUCUUUUUGCUGCUUGUGGAUCUAAGAAAUUACCAGUACUUCCACUGUCAAUCAAGAUACUAACUGGUUUUUGAUUCACUAGACCUUGUACCUUAACAGUUCUAUCAGUAUUAUGACCUAAUAAAGCGUGUAAAGUUAUUUGCACAUUAUUGGCCUGAUCUUCCUGAACCAGUUUGUAUAAUUCCCUUUUUCCAAGUGGUUCUGGUUCAUACACAAUCUGUUCCUCUUGGUCCACACCACUUUCCUCUUCCACAGAAGGCACCAUCAUAAACAAAUGUGGUUGUUUACAAACAUGACCCAACCCAUAAGGUUCAUCACAAGAAAAACAUAAUCCUUUCCUCCUCUUUUCCAUGAUCUGUUCCCUAGUUAAGUUCCUAAUAGGCAGGAGUUUUUUUGUUUCAGGCACACGUACUUCUGCCUUAUUCUCUACCACAUGAGCACCACUAUUUCCUCCCACAUUAUAAACCCCUUUCUGCAGUCCAGAAACUGCAGAACUGCUCUUAUUAAUCAAAUUUCCAGCAGUAGUUUUAAAAGCAGAUCUACUCCUUUUAAUCCAUGCUUCUAAUUUAGCUUCUUCCACUCUUGCCAAUCGAAUUGCUUCCUUUAGAGUCUUAAACCCAUAUUCUUGUAUUCCCAACUGAAUCUCCUCUCUCAAACCACCAACAAAACAAUCAAUAAAGAAUUCCUCAUUUAGUUGUGGAUUUUUAAUCACAGCCCAGCCUUUAAGCUCUUCAAACUUUCCCCUAUAAUCAUCAACAGUACUAGUUUGCUGUAAUUUCUUAAGCUCAGCUACAGGAUUGAUUUUAGCUUCUGGACUAAAUCGAGCCAAUAACUCCUCAAUCAGGUCAUUCCAGGUCAAAUUAACUAUACUUUCUACAAAACUUGAGUACCAGAUCUCAGCUUCUCCUUCAAGAUGCAUAGUAGCCAAAUAUAAUUUCUGAUUCUCAGCGACAUUAUGAUGUGAAAACAAUUUAUUACAUUUCCUUAUCCACGACCUAGGAUCAUUUCCAUGAAAUUUAGGGAAUUCAAGUUUAAUUGUUCUGAAAAUUCCCUCACCAUUAGUAACAGGAAGAGUUCCUCCUUCGUAAGCACCUAGGAUUGAUCCAGACAUGUUUGGAUUAGAGGAUGAAGAGUUACUACCUGAAGAUUGUCCGUCCUUACCAGAAGAAGAAGUUGAUCCUUGUUUUUGGCCCUGAGCUGAUAUUAUUGCCUCAAAACCUUUCAACAUCUGUUCCAAUUUCUCGUCAAAUCCUUUCUUCAGUAGCUCCAUCGAUGAAUGCAGCUGGCUUUGCAAUUCCUGCAGAUUACUCUCAAGGUUAGUCAAUCUCUGAUUGUUCGUUGCCAUCACCGCAAAAUCGUCACAGCUUUGAUACCAAAUUGUAAGGAACUGAAAUCUGGAUUCAGUUCUUAGCUCAAUCAAUAUACUAAACAAGAGGAAGAAGAAUUAACUAAGAAUGAAGAAUAGCAAGAUCAGGAGGAAAAGAGACUGUAUAUUGGAGAGAGACAAAGAGUAACAAUUCCAUUCAUGCCUUCAACUGAGUACAGCUAGGUCUUCUUAUACAAAGGAAAAGAACAAAACAAUAACCGACUCAAUUUAGCCUAACAGUAACAGAUUACUGCUAAACCAUAUUAUUAAGCAAAAGACUAUUAUACCCUUAGAGCCACACCUUAAUAGCUAGCUUUUAAGGUGUGGCUCUCCCAUUGUUUGUAACAAUUGGUAUCAAAGUCAUUCCGAUCCCAGCCAUAAUGACAGCCGAAAAUCAAAAUUCUAAAGCCCUAGAAAACAAUUUUGAAAAAAUUCGAGAAUUAAUGAAAGGAUUGCAAAGUUCUAUGGGUAAAGAGUGCAAGCAGGUCAUGAAGAAAUUUGAUGACUUACGAGCUUCCAAUGGAAGAGGUCGGGAGCUGAUAUCUGAAAUGAAGAUAAGCUCAGAUAGUAAAAAAAUCAAAGGUGCUUACAAGGUGUUUGAUAAAAGGUUUACAAGAGGUAUAUCAAAUAGGAAGGUCUUAAUUUCUGGUUAUAAUCAAGAUGAAGAUUGUUUGUAUGUUGAGACCUUUGAAUAUGUGCAAAAGAAAUUAUUAAUUUCUGGUUCUAAUCAAACUGAGGAUUGCUUAUGUGAAACAACAUAUUCCUUAAAUUCAAUAUACCAAGACAUUAAUGAUGAAGAUGAUGUGGAUCUGGAUUUUAAGGAGGAAGAAAGCCUUCAAACACAAUUGCAGAUUCAACAAAAUGUUGGUUCAGUUGUUCCUGAGAUUGGAGGCCAUGAUUUUCUGGCCGGAAUUGAAAACCCAAUCUCACUCGUCAAUCAAGUUUGCACUGAAUCAAUUCAGGAUAAGGUCACAGGAGAGAACAUGGAACAUGAAACUAAGGUGGAUGAUAAAAAGCUAGUACCAGGAAUAACUAUCUAUCAGAAUGAAAUUAAAGGAGAUGGUGUGACAAUUGAAGGAGUGUUUGACCCUGGGGGGAAAAUGAAGAGCUGUUUUAGUUGUAAAAAGGAAAAUGAGGUGGAAAAGCUUUCAAGUUCUAUAGUUAAUAAUGUGUACAGUAUGAAUUACCCUUCAGCCAUGGACUAUAGUGGUCUAUGGGUCAGUUAUGGGUCUUCUCAGAUGAGGCUUCAGUCUACACUCCUUGAACUUGUGCAUAGAGAAAGGACUGGUGAAGUAAUAAACCGUGGUUUGAUGAGGAAUAUAACAAAGAUGCUAAUGGAUUUAGGUUCCUUUGUUUAUCAAGAAGACUUUGAGAAGCCUUUUAUGAAAGUCUCGGCUGAUUUUUACCGUGGUGAAUCUCAGCAAGUCAUAGAUUGCUGUGAUUGUGGGGAUUAUCUUAAGAAAGCUGAGAAUCGUCUAAAUGAGGAGAUUGAGAGAGUGUCCCACUACUUAGAUGCAAAAAGUGAAGCAAAGAUAACAAACGUGGUGGAGAAGGAGAUGAUUGGAAGUCAUAUGCAGAGAUUAGUCCAAAUGGAGAACUCAGGUUUAGUUAAUAUGAUAGUGGAUGACAGAUUUGAAGAUCUGGGAAGGAUGUAUAGCUUGUUCCGCAGGGUGCAAAAUGGGCUGUCAUUAGUUAGAGAUGUCAUGACUUCCCAUAUUCGGGAGGCAGGUAAGCAGCUAGUAACUGAUCCAGAAAGGUUGAAGGACCCUGUUGACUUUGUGCAGCGGCUUUUGGAUGAAAAGGAUAAGCAUGAUAACAUCAUUAGUCUGGCAUUUAACAAUGAUAAGACAUUCCAGAAUGCUCUGAAUUCUUCCUUUGAAUAUUUCAUUAAUUUGAAUCCUCGUUCGCCAGAAUUCAUUUCUUUGUUUGUUGAUGAUAAGCUCCGCAAAGGACUGAAAGGGGUUAGUGAGGAGGAUGUAGAGAUUGUACUGGACAAGGUGAUGAUGCUUUUCCGCUACUUACAAGAGAAAGAUGUUUUUGAGAAGUACUACAAGCAACAUUUGGCAAAAAGGCUUCUUUCAGGCAAGACUGUCUCUGAUGAGGCGGAGAGAAGCUUGAUAGUCAAGCUCAAAACUGAGUGUGGGUAUCAAUUUACUUCAAAGUUGGAAGGCAUGUUCACUGAUAUGAAGACCUCCCAGGACACGAUGCAGGGGUUCUAUUCAGCAAUGGGUGCCGAGAUAGCAGAUGGCCCUACACUUGCAGUCCAGGUCCUCACUACAGGAUCUUGGCCAACUCAAUCGAGUAACACUUGCAACCUUCCACCAGAAAUUUCGGGUGUGUGUGAUAAGUUCCGGACAUAUUAUCUUGGGACUCACACUGGUCGGAGAUUGUCCUGGCAAACAAAUAUGGGAAUUGCAGAUUUGAAAGUAACAUUUGGAAAGGGCCAGAAGCACGAGUUAAAUGUCUCCACAUACCAGAUGUUUAUCCUAAUGCUCUUCAACAAUGCUGACCGUCAGAGUUAUAAAGAAAUCAUAAAAAUAAAAAUAAUAAUAAAAAUAAAAAUUGGAUGCCCUCAGCCAUGUUUUUGCUACCAAGCUUGGAGUUCGCCUAGCUGAAGCUCGUAUGAAUGGUACCUGUGCAUUGUUAAGGCUUGCUGGUAAAACUCAAGUGACUGUUGAGUACUAGUAUGACAGUGGUGUCAUGGUCUUGUGCACAUUAUUCUGAUCUCCACUUACCCAGCCUGAGGAGACUAUUACAACUGAUGAGAUUGCUACUUUGUCAUUGGUGUUUGUCUGGAUGAGAUUGGUGAUUUGUCAUUUUUGUCAAAUGCCUAAUACUCCAGUCUAGUUGGUAUUUGUUGUCUCCAUAUUUUCAAUUUUUUUGUUUGUAAUAAACCCCACCCUUGAGGGCAAUGGUGUUUUUGAGGAGCAGGGAAUGUAAGGUAUAGAUAGGGAUAUAGAAGUCAAUAUAGGAUUAGUGGGGGCAUUAUGGUAAUAGUAGUAAUAGCUGAAUUGUAAUUCUAUUGGGAUUAUUGAAAGAUAACGUGAUAGUCUUUUCUCUCUCUACGGUUCUCUUCUGUCUUCUUCUUCACUCUAACUGCUCUCUCUCUCUCUCUCAACUCAAUUUUCUGUUCCUUAUUCCCUAAAUUUCCUUGACAAUUUUAGUCUGCUUCUCCAAUUCAUUACAUGAACCUAGCAAAUAAAUUAAACAUAUAUACAUAUAUGUGCGAAACAAGGAGGAUCGGAAAGGAAAACUAACUGGCGCUCAUGAUUCCGAGAUUGAACAGAUGCGCUGCUGCGAAGACAAAUCUGGAAAAUGCUUUCCUCCCGUUUGUUUGCGUCAAAUGAGACCCGGCUACUUCUCAAAUUAUAUUCUCAGUCGGAUUUCCUCCCGUUUGUUUGCGUUAGCCCAGCCCAACCCAGGCCGAUGAGCCCAAUACAAAGUUAUACUUAUAAAUUAGUUUUAUUGUGCACAUAAACUC